AGCCCUAUGGUGUAUGACACGUUUGAUUGCAAAUCUUAAGGCGCAGGCUCACACCUGCUGGGGCUU
rnacentral:tRNA from 1 species